CUACGGGUCGCAGCAGUCGAGAAUUUUUCACAAUGGGGGGAAACCCUGAUGGAGCGACGCCGCGUGGAGGAUGAAGGUUUUCGGAUUGUAAACUCCUGUCAAAUGGGAACAAGAAAGUGAUAGUACCAUUAGAGGAAGAGACGGCUAACUCUGUGCCAGCAGCCGCGGUAAUACAGAGGUCUCAAGCGUUGUUCGGAUUCAUUGGGCGUAAAGGGUGCGCAGGCUGUGGGGUAAGUCGGAUGUGAAAUUUAGGGGCUCAACCUCUAAACUGCAUUCGAUACUGCUCCGCUAGAGGUAUGUAGAGGAGAUUGGAAUUCACGGUGUAGCAGUGAAAUGCGUAGAUAUCGUGAGGAAGACCAGUGGCGAAGGCGAAUCUCUGGGCAUUACCUGACGCUCAUGCACGAAGGCCAGGGGAGCAAACGGGAUUAGAUACCCCUGUAGUC
rnacentral:rRNA from 1 species